AACGGCCAUACCAUGCUGAAUAUACCGGUUUUCGUUAGAUCGCUGAAGUCAAGCAUCAUUGUCGCGGUCAGUACUUGGGUGGGUCACCACCUAGGAACACCGCGUGGCGU
rnacentral:rRNA from 1 species